rnacentral:rRNA from 1 species
UGCCUCAGUAACGGCGAGUGAAGCGGCAACAGCUCAAAUUUGAAAUCUGGCUCUUUCAGGGUCCGAGUUGUAAUUUGUAGAGGAUGCUUCGGGUGUGGCUCCGGUCUAAGUUCCUUGGAACAGGACGUCAUAGAGGGUGAGAAUCCCGUAUGUGACUGGUUGCCUAUGCUCAUGCGAAGCUCCUUCGACGAGUCGAGUUGUUUGGGAAUGCAGCUCAAAAUGGGUGGUAAAUUUCAUCUAAAGCUAAAUAUUGGCCAGAGACCGAUAGCGCACAAGUAGAGUGAUCGAAAGAUGAAAAGCACUUUGGAAAGAGAGUUAAACAGUACGUGAAAUUGUUGAAAGGGAAGCGCUUGCAACCAGACUUGCACGUAGUUAAUCAACCGGUGUUCUCACUGGUGCACUUGAUUACGUUCAGGCCAGCAUCGGUUUCGGUGGUUGGAUAAAGGCCGGGGGAAUGUGGCUUCUUUCGGGGAGUGUUAUAGCCCUCGGUGCAAUGCAGCCUACCGGGACCGAGGACCGCGCUUCGGCUAGGAUGCUGGCGUAAUGGUUGUAAGCGACCCGUCUUGAAACACGGACCAAGGAGUCUAACAUCUAUGCGAGUGUUUGGGUGUUAAACCCAUACGCGUAAUGAAAGUGAACGGAGGUGAGAACCCUUAAGGGUGCAUCAUCGACCGAUCCUGAUGUCUUCGGAUGGAUUUGAGUAAGAGCAUAGCUGUUGGGACCCGAAAGAUGGUGAACUAUGCCUGAAUAGGGUGAAGCCAGAGGAAACUCUGGUGGAGGCUCGCAGCGGUUCUGACGUGCAAAUCGAUCGUCAAAUUUGGGUAU